rnacentral:rRNA from 1 species
GAUGAACGCUAGCGGCAGGCUUAAUACAUGCAAGUCGAGGGGCAGCAUGAUUGUAGCAAUACAAUUGAUGGCGACCGGCGAACGGGUGCGGAACACGUACACAACCUUCCAACAAGUGGGGGAUAGCCCAGAGAAAUUUGGAUUAAUACCCCGUAACAUAGCGAUGUGGCGUCACAUUGCUAUUAUAGAUUUUUCGCUUGUUGAUGGGUGUGCGGCUGAUUAGAUAGUUGGCGGGGUAACGGCCCACCAAGUCUACGAUCAGUAGCUGAUGUGAGAGCAUGAUCAGCCACACGGGCACUGAGACACGGGCCCGACUCCUACGGGAGGCAGCAGUAAGGAAUAUUGGACAAUGGACGCAAGUCUGAUCCAGCCAUGCCGCGUGAAGGAUUAAGGUCCUCUGGAUUGUAAACUUCUUUUAUAAGAGACGAAAAAAGGCUUUUCUAAGUCGUCUGACGGUACCUUAUGAAUAAGCACCGGCUAACUCCGUGCCAGCCGCCGCAGUAACAC